rnacentral:rRNA from 1 species
GAUGAACGCUGGCGGCGUGCCUAAUACAUGCAAGUCGAACGAACGGACGAGAAGCUUGCUUCUCUGAUGUUAGCGGCGGACGGGUGAGUAACACGUGGAUAACCUACCUAUAAGACUGGGAUACUUCGGGAAACCGGAGCUAAUACCGGAUGAUAUUUUGAACCGCAUGGUUCAAAAGUGAAAGACGGUCUUGCUGUCACUUAUAGAUGGAUCCGCGCUGCAUUAGCUAGUUGGUAAGGUAACGGCUUACCAAGGCAACGAUGCAUAGCCGACCUGAGAGGGUGAUCGGCCACACUGGAACUGAGACACGGUCCAGACUCCUACGGGAGGCAGCAGUAGGGAAUCUUCCGCAAUGGGCGAAAGCCUGACGGAGCAACGCCGCGUGAGUGAUGAAGGUCUUCGGAUCGUAAAACUCUGUUAUUAGGGAAGAACAUAUGUGUAAGUAACUGUGCACAUCUUGACGGUACCUAAUCAGAAAGCCACGGCUAACUACGUG